UGGAGUGCAGUGGUACAAUCUCUGCUCACUGCAACCUCCAUCUCCUGGAUUCAAGUGAUUCUCCAGCCUCAGCCUUCCAAGUAGCUGGGAUUACAGGCAUGCACCACCAUGUCCAGCCAAUUUUAGUUUCCCAGGUUGGACAAUAAAUUAUGGUCAUCCAAGAGUCAUGUCAUCAAACUCAUCUUCAGCAGAGGGCCUGAAUUAGGGAAACAGGCGCCGGCUCAGUAAUGACGAGAUACAGUUGAAACCAUGCAGGAGAUCAGAAGCCUUCAGUGACCUUCGGCCACAUCUCCACAUCUUUUCAAAAAUCUCAUAAGGAUGGUUGUAUUAGUCAAGGUUCUCCAGAGAAACAGAAUCAACAGAUUAGAUAUAGAUAUAGAUGCACCGAGAGAAAUUUAUUUUAAGAAGUUGGCUUAUGAAAUUAUGGAGGCUAAAUCUCACAAUCUGCCAACUGCAAGCUGGAGACCCAGGUAAGCUGUAUGAGAACAAGGCCUGUGUUUUUCUUCAUCACCAUUCUAUCCCCAGCACAUAGU